CUUUCUAUUAGCUUUCAGUGAGAUUACACAUGCAAGCAUCCACAGCCCUGUGAGAAUGCCCUCAACCAAAACAUNNNNGAGGAGCGAGUAUCAAGCACGCAUCAUGCAGCUCAAAACACUUUGCUUAGCCACGCCCCCACGGGAAACAGCAGUGAUAAACUUUUAGCAAUGAACGAAANGUUUAACUAAGCUACACUGACCACCAGAGUCGGUCAAUUUCGUGCCAGCCACCGCGGCCAUACGAUUGACUCGAGUUAAUAGAGCCCGGCGUAAAGGGUGUUUAAGACUUGAAUCCAAGUACAAUAAAGCUAACCUACAACUAAGUCGUAAAAAACCACAGUUGCAGUGAAAUAAACUACGAAAGUGGCUUUAAUACUCUGAAUACACUAUAGCUAAGGUACAAACUGGGAUUAGAUACCCCACUAUGCUUAGCCCUAAACCUCAGUAACUCAACCAACAAACUUAUUCGCCAGAACACUACAAGCAACAGCUUGAAACUCAAAGGACCUGGCGGUGCUUUACAUCCGUCUAGAGGAGCCUGUUCUAUAAUCGAUACACCCCGAUAAACCUCACCACCUCUUGCCAUCAGCCUGUAUACCGCCAUCUUCAGCAAACUCCCUAAUGAUCGCAUAGUAAGCGGAAGUAUCAUCAUAAAAACGUUAGGUCAAGGUGCAGCCAAUGACGUGGGAAGAAAUGGGCUACAUUUUCUAAUUCAGAAAAUCAUACGAUANACCCUUAUGAAACU
rnacentral:rRNA from 3 species